UGGGGAAUAUUGGACAAUGGGGGGAACCCUGAUCCAGCCAUGCCGCGUGUGUGAAGAAGGCCUUUUGGUUGUAAAGCACUUUAAGCGAGGAGGAGGCUACCGAGAUUAAUACUCUUGGAUAGUGGACGUUACUCGCAGAAUAAGCACCGGCUAACUCUGUGCCAGCAGCCGCGGUAAUACAGAGGGUGCGAGCGUUAAUCGGAUUUACUGGGCGUAAAGCGUGCGUAGGCGGCUUUUUAAGUCGGAUGUGAAAUCCCUGAGCUUAACUUAGGAAUUGCAUUCGAUACUGGGAAGCUAGAGUAUGGGAGAGGAUGGUAGAAUUCCAGGUGUAGCGGUGAAAUGCGUAGAGAUCUGGAGGAAUACCGAUGGCGAAGGCAGCCAUCUGGCCUAAUACUGACGCUGAGGUACGAAAGCAUGGGGAGCAAACAGG
rnacentral:rRNA from 3 species